ensembl:snRNA U1 U1 spliceosomal RNA
GUACUUACCUGGCAGGGGAGAUACCUUGAUCAAGGAGGUUCACCCAGGGCAAGGCUGGGCCCUUGCACUCCGGUUGUGCUGACCCCUGCGAAUUCCCCAAAUGUGGGAAUCUCGACUGCAUAAUUUCUGGUAGUUGGGGUGGAGCAGUGGCACUGU